rnacentral:rRNA from 1 species
UUAGUCAAUGCUCGCAAGAGUGAACUAGCUAACUGAAAUCAUACUUGUGUCAAGUGUGAUAACGUAAGGGAAGAUAAUGACAUUACCUUACUAUUAGUGUUGUCCAAAACUGGUGCCAGAAGACUCGGUAAGGCCAGAGACGCGAACGUUAAUCGUCCUAAUCAGGCGUAAAGGGUGUGUAGGCAGCUUUAAAAUUUUUCUUAUUACUUAAAUUCUUUUAUAUAUUUAAAAGUCUAAAUUUAUUUAAUGUAGACUAAUUAAUUAAUAAUUUUUCAAUUUAUUAUUACGAAUUAAUUAAAGUAGAGAUAAAAUUAAUAAAAGCUAGAAUCAAAUAGAGGAUAUUUAAAUAAUAUUUAGAGGAGGGGUGAUAUCCUUAGAUACUAAAUAGAAUAUUAAUGGUGAAAGCUUUUAUCUAUUAAUGAUUGACGCUGAGAAACGAAGGUGAGGAUAGGAAAUAGGAUUAGAUACCCAGAUACCCCUCUCUGUCAACGAUGAAUGGUGGUUGCUAAUUAUAUAAAUUAAUUGGUGGCGAUGUUAACACGAUAACCAUUCCGCCAUGUGAGUACGACUGCAAAGUUGAAAACAAAAAAAUUAGUCGGUCUCGAAGCAAACGAAGUGAAGCAUGUUAUUUAAU